GGGGUUGUGGCUCAGUGGUAGAGUGCUCGCCUAGCAUGCAUGGGUUCGAUCCUCAGCACCA
rnacentral:tRNA from 1 species